GUCCAUGUGGCUGAGUGGUUAAGCGCUUGGCUUCCAAACCUAGUGUCCUGAGUUCAAAUCUCGAUAAAGACU
rnacentral:tRNA from 1 species